GUGGGGCCCAGACCCGCGCAACCAGGCGGGGAGGGGAGGUGGGCGCGCGAUUGGGUUGCGAUCUGGAGCGGUGGGGACAGGUCAGGAACCGGCGCGUAUUUAUGCAGUGAGACCCUAGGACGGAUAUCGGCGCCUUCGGCUUCGAUGGAGUUGCGAUUUUGCUCUUUCUAGGGAAACAGCGGCAGGGUGUUUGCUGCUUGUCGGUUCCUGCGGAUAUGCCUGGCUCAUGGGUCCCAGGAUAUUCCACUGGAGGCUUGGACUGCAUUUAGGAGUCCCUAUCCCUUCCCUGUCCACACUGUUAGUGAGCAAUUUCAUAUGUUUGCAUUUAGACCCACAGACUCAGAACGACUCAUCACACACACGCACAGUGUACACUGACACACUCACAUUCGCACACUUAGGUAUACAGCCUGAUCCUUGCUCUGACCCGGUAACAACGCUUCCUCCUCCAGAGACUUUGAGAUAGAGCGAGCGAUCCGUGUGCACCAUUCAUCCACGCUCCCACCUCGCCAGUAUGGAGGGCUUGUUCUGGAAGGGGCGUAAGAGGAACAAGCCCCAGCUGUGCUUCUAGCUGGGACUUAAGCCCCUCUUCUGGGCCCUAACGCCUCCAGCUUCUUUAUGGACCGGACCUGACUCUCCAGGAAGCUGGGAACCCGCUAUUUCACUCUAUUUUGGGACAAGAAAAAGGGGCUCUUUGGGGCCACUUCCUGCCUUCCCCUCAAGUAGGAUCUCCAGCCUGCAGAGGGUGCCUAGUCCUUCUUUGCCCAAGAACCAGCCCAAGAAGCCUUUCCUCUGUGCCUGGGAAAUGCAACCUUUUCUUGGGAGUAUGGUAGGGUGUUGGUGCUGAAGAACCAAGCAGCGACCCGUCUUGCAGCUGCCAUGUUUUGUCGAGGGGUUCUGGGGGUCCUUCUGCUUUAGGGCCACAUACUUCCACUUCCUGAUUCACUACUGUGAGCUGGUCAGAUGCCUAGAAGAGGAACAAGCGUUCAAAGUGAAAGUGGGCACAUUACCGGAAUAGUGCUGGGGAGAGUGCUGGAUUCUUUUCCACCCCAGGCAGACUGGUGAGAAGCCAGGCUUGGACCUGUCCUCUGCUCCUAGCUUGCACACUCAGCCCUAAACUCAGAGCAGCACGCAUACCACCCCCCCCACACACACACCCCACCAUCUGCUCUCUAAGGCCCCUGGGCUUCCUGCAGGAUCCAGACCUGUGUGGCUGGGCUUAGGCCUUUAUCUGUCCUCAUCCUGGGUUUGUUCUGACCAACGUUAAGUGUCGCCCAAUAAAACCUCCUAUGACCCCCA